CCUACGGGAGGCAGCAGUCGGGAAUAUUGCGCAAUGGAGGAGACUCUGACGCAGUGACGCCGCGUAUAGGAAGAAGGUUUUCGGAUUGUAAACUAUUGUCGUUAGGGAAGAUAAAAGACUGUACCUAAGGGGGAAGCACCGUCGCACUAGGUGCCAGCAGCCGCGGUUAUACAUCGGGGGCAAGCGUUAUCCGGAAUUAUUGGGGGUAAAGGGGGCGUAGACGGAAGAACAAGUUGGUUGUGAAAUCCCUCGGCUCAACCGAGGAACUGCAACCAAAACGAUUCUCCUUGAGUGUCAGAGAGGAAUGUGGAAUUCGUAGUGUAGCGGUGAAAUGCGUAGAUAUUAGGAGGAACACCAGUGGCGAAGGCGACUUUCUGGACGAUAACUGACGUUGAGGCACGAAAGUGUGGGGAGCGAACAGGAUUAGAUACCCUUGUAGUC
rnacentral:rRNA from 1 species